AUGGAGGAGAAAAGGAGAAAUGAAAUUGAAAUGUUUAGGAAGAACAAGAAGGAAAGAGUGAAGGAGACUUAUCUGAACAGGAAAGCAGCAGUUAUGGACAAUGAAGAGGAUAGUGAUGAUGAUGAUCUAGUAGAAUAUGGUGAUAUCUUAGCUAGGCUUGAGGAGAUGAGAAGACAGAGGAAUGACCCAGAACUUCAUUUUGAAGGGGACACAUAUGUUGAGGAAAUGUGUGACUCAGAGGUGGAUGAUGAGUUGUAUGUGCCACAAGGUGAAGAAGAGGAUGUAGAGGAGGAAGAGGAGGAGGAAUUGGAGGAAGAGGAACAAGAGCAUGAGCUAGGGCAAGAUGUACCAAACAAGAGAAGGGCCAUGAGACAAAGAAAAGGCCCAACAAGCAAUUCACAUGGGAGUAUAGAACACAUGUUUGAGGAGAAUCUGGGAAGUUUGGGAACUACACAAUAA
rnacentral:rRNA from 1 species